GUGAACGCUGGCGGUAGGCCUAACACAUGCAAGUCGAACGGCAGCACAGUAAGAGCUUGCUCUUACGGGUGGCGAGUGGCGGACGGGUGAGGAAUACAUCGGAAUCUACUUUUUCGUGGGGGAUAACGUAGGGAAACUUACGCUAAUACCUCAUACGACCUACGGGUGAAAGCAGGUGAUCUUCGGACCUUUCGCGAUUGAAUGAGCCGAUGUCGGAUUAGCUAGUUGGCGGGGUAAAGGCCCACCAAGGCGACGAUCCGUAGCUGGUCUGAGAGGAUGAUCAGCCACACUGGAACUGAGACACGGUCCAGACUCCUACGGGAGGCAGCAGUGGGGAAUAUUGGACAAUGGGCGCAAGCCUGAUCCAGCCAUACCGCGUGGGUGAAGAAGGCCUUCGGGUUGUAAAGCCCCUUUGUUGGGAAAGAAAAGCAGCAGGUUAAUACCCCGCUGUUCUGACGGUACCCAAAGAAUAAGCACCGGCUAACUUCGUG
rnacentral:rRNA from 1 species